GGGUCACUUUCUCACAGACUUCUACAGAAACUGAACUCCUUUUGCAACCGCACGUGUCGCCCCCUGCUGGAAUUCAGAUAGAAAGCAGGUUUAAGGAGUCUCCCCCUGCAGGUAUUCAGAUAUAAUACAGGUUUAAGGAGUCUCCCCCUGCAGGAAUUCAG